GGUUGAGCAAAUUUAUAUUUGUUUUCAAGAGCUUUGAAUUUCUGGGGUGGGAAAUU
rnacentral:ncRNA from 22 species